AACAACAUUAACGAAAACACAACGACAUUAAGAAAACGGAAAAGGUAGGUCCCAGUGGAGACCUAAGAAAUCGCUGAUUGGACUACAGCUCGUUAGAAAACGGAAAAGGUAGGUCCCAGUGGAGACCUAAGGAAUCGCUGAUUGGACUACAGCUCGUUAGAAAACGGAAAAGGUAGGUCCCAGCGGAGACCUAAGGAAUCGCUGAUUGGACUACAGCUCGUUAGAAAACGGAAAAGGUAGGUCCCAGCGGAGACGUAAGAAAUCGCUGAUUGGCUCGUUUUACUUCUGAACCGGAAGUUUUUCUGGAGACCCUUUUCACAGUGAUGUCAGACAAUGGGCGCCGUAACUCGAAGAGGUGUAUCUUUACUUCUGGUGUGAUUUUGCCUCGGGAAACCUGACUGAAAAAUUCACGGAUACUCAUUAUCUUAAGGAUAUACUAAACGGUAAGGUUAAUUACAACAGCAUUUAAGUGUUAGCCAUUAUUACUCAUUGUUAAUCCACCAUUCUCUAACUGUGUAUAUAAUAAACAGCCUCCGAUUGGAGAGUAAACCAGCUAGCAGCAGCUUUAGCCACAGUUGGGAA